rnacentral:lncRNA from 10 species
UAUGUGGUAAUGAACACUCCCACGUGCCCACAUACACACGCGUACACACACUUGCAGAACUGAGGCAGGAAAAUAGGGUCUGGAGGCAGGGAACAUAAGGCUGAUUUACACUUCAGCUAUGACAGGAAAUAUCCUCUCCAUAGGGCAGACACCGAGUAAAUGACUGUAACUUUACUUUGUCCUCUCCAUUUACAGCGGGCAUACUCGAAGCAACCAAUGAAAUCCUUUAGGGGGUAUUUUAAACUCCUAAAAAUUCCUUAAUAGGGCCUUUGAGCUCCUAUGCUUGGGCCCUCUCCCACACUGUGGAGUGUACUUUCACUUUCAAUAAAUUCCUUUGUCCCUUCCUUGCUUUGUGCGUUUUGUCCAAUUCUUUGUUCAAGACACCAAGAACCUCGACACGAACCACCUUUAACAUAGUUUGGUGAACCAGCCUGGAGGCAGAGUCAAGCAUGAUCCCUAAGGCUGCUCAGGGAGAGAGAACCUAGAAACCUGGCAUGCUGGCAAAAGGGUAAGAAUUUCUUGCCAGUCAGUCUCUGGCCUCUUUCUUUCAUGUACUAGGUCUCAACAAACCAAGCCAAACCAAACCAAACCAAAAUGGAGUUGCUUGUGCUAGGACUUUAAGGAAACACAUAGAUUCUAGAACAAAUCAGGUUUUGUUCUGAAUCCUGCAAAUCUCUAUAAUACAGAUUUCUGACAGCAUAGGUAUCCACCCCCUAAAGUCCCCAUUAAAUCUUUUAACCAAAUUCAUUUCCUCUGGCCUAGAGACCAUCAAGCUUCAGAUGAUCAUGCAACAAAAGUCCCAGCUAGUUCCAGGUGAAGACAACACACCUGGCCUUCAAAAAGCUACUCUGCCUCCACUAGAGAGAACAGGGCGAGAGUUCCAUGAUCCCCAGUAGAGUCUCACUCUGUGUCACAGGCUGAAGUGCAGUGGCACAAUCUUGGCUCACUGCAACCUCCACCUCCCGGGUUCAAGUGAUUCUCCUGCUUCAGCCUCCGGAGUAGCUGGGACUACAGGAUGAAAACUAUAAAUCAUUCGCUUUCCCAGAGUGAAGUUUGACUUAUUCCUGUGGCCAACAUGGCUUAUGGACACCAAGGACAAAUAAGUCAGAAUAACUUGAUGGAAAAGACCUUCAGCGAUAACUACAUAGUUUUCAUCUCUUGUAUGAACAAAGUGUUAAAUUUUCUCUACUAUCAAUUCUUUAGUGAUAUAUUGGCUAUGAUUUUUUUCUGUUCCAUGAUAUAUAUUAUUUUAUCAUAUAAUAUACAUUGAUAUAUGAAUUGAUUAAGGUCAGGGAUUUAUACCAAGAUAAUAAUUUGUUCUAAAAACUAUAUGUUCAGUUUUUAUCAUUAAAAACAUUUUAAAUAAUAACUAAUUCUCAUUUGUAGUCAAUAAGUGGCACAUGCAUAAUCAUAUGGCAAAGAUAUAUUUUUGUUUGGUGCUGUAGGUACAAAUUACAGUUUGAUCUUUCAUACUUUAUGAAAACAAUGGUAUAAAUAGAUAUAUGGUUCAUAUUGCAGUUGAAUAUAAUAUUUAUUCAAUAACAUUUAUUAAUGAUAUUUCAGGAAGUAUUUCUCAUAUUUUAAUGUAUACAUGAACCACAUGGUAUCCUCUUAAAAAAGCAAAUUUUGGUUCAGUUUUUAGAAGAUGGAGCUAAGAUUUUUUCAUUUCAAACUGCUUUGUGAUCCGCUGAUCUCAGUUUCAGUAGCAAAUUUAAAAAUAUGUAUGCUUCUGGAUUUUAAUAGAUAACUGAAAUAAAACAAAAUAUUUUUCAGUACUAAGAGUGGUUAAAUUUCAACAUGAUCUUUGCUUAAAUGAAAGAGACUAUUAGAAGUACAUUUUCUAGUACUCUUUUUUAUUUCUUUUCAUUUUAAAUAUAUUUCCAAAUUACAAUACUUUAAUUUAAUGACUCAUGCUGACUUCAAAAUUAACACCACAGCUAAAAUAUAUGAGCUCCUUUUACAGCAGCGUUUUUCCUCUGGGAAAUAGUAACUUCUCUUGCCAUUGUUUUCAUUAUUUUCACUUCUUUUCUUCUGUACAAGGAUCUGACAAUACAUCCUCAACUUUACUUGCUUGAAAACAGAAGCAGUGGCAAAGAUUAGUGGUGAAAACCAGGAGACUUAAAAAACACAUUUAAUCUCUUUCAUUCCCUUCCUUCCUUCCUUCCUUCCUUCCUUCCUUCCUUCCUUCCUUCCUUCCUUCCUCUCUCUCUUUUUUAUUUUUUGGAAAAUACUCAACUAUCAUCAUUCACUGCCAUUCAAAACAUUUUUCAAUCAUGUAUUGUCACCUAAAAGAUUUAUUCAAAACCUAACGGUGAAUGGAUAAAGAUGCUCAAUUUGGGGGCUCUCAAUAGACAAUUCAGGAAUGCCGAUGAUUUUGCUAUGUCAGUUUGGUGCUAUGAAGGGAGGUAAAAUAUAUUGCUUAAAAUUGUAUAUAUAUACACAUUACAUUAUAUAUACAAAAAUUACAUGUAUAUAUAUAUACACAUUACAUGUAUAUAUUUUAUAAUUUUAUUAAUAUAUAUAGUUUUAAUUACAAUUCUUACAUAUAAUAUAAACAUAAAUUUUAUGUGAUCCUUUUUUCUUGAAUUAAAGGUUAUAUAAUAAAAGCUACCACCUGCAGUUCUCACAGCAGUAGAAUUCCAAAUCAGCCGCUGCAAAAUCAGCAACAGCAGCUGUAACCUGGUUUUUAGAGAAGUUGAAAUCAAUUUUCACAGGUAACUUAAAGUUUAUACAAAUGCAGAUUGUGUUCGCCAGGGUUUAACAUUUGUAUAAUAGUCAUAAAGAUAAUAGUACGAUAAAGAGUUAUUCUUACUGAAUUUCAAUACACAGUCUCUUCUUUUCUGUUAUGGUCUUCAAAGGUAUUAUUUAAGCUUAAUUACAUUUAUGAAAACAAAUUAAUAAAAAUGUCAAAGUUGGGAUUUAAAGAGGUAUACACUUACUAAAAUAAGGUAUGUUUCUUAAACAAAAUGUAUUCUAUUUUAAUCAUUAAUUUAAGACUUUCAGUUCUUCAUGAAUCAGUGACCCAUCAAUAGUGUAUCUUUUACUGUAAGUUAAUUUCAAUCCUAGAUUUGUAUACAAUUAAAGUAACAUAUUUAUCUUAAUCUUUUAAGUUUUUAUAUAUCAUCCAGAAAAAUGAGAUAUCUAUAAUAGUCUUUCAGUUCUGUAAACUUUUCUCUUUUUUCUUUCUUUAAUUUUUUUUUUACUUUUUAUUUUUGGUAACAAUGGUUUUACAUAUUUAUGUGGUAGAUGUACCAUUUUGAUACAAGCAUAAAAUGUGUAAUAAUAAAAUCUAGGUAAUUGGGAUAUUCAUUACAUAAAAUAUUUAUAAUUUAUGUGUGUUGGGAACAUUCCAAAUCUCUUCUUCUAGUUAUUUUUAAAUUUACAAUAAAUUAUUAUUAACUGUAGUCACCCUAUUGUGCUACUGAACACUAGACCUUAUUCUAUUAACCAUCCCCUCUUUAUAACCCCCCGCAAACCCACUACCCUUCCCAACCUCUGGUAACUGUCAUUCUACUCUCUGUCUUUAUGAGAUCAGUUUUCUUUAGUUCCCAUAUAUAAGUGAAAACAUGCAACAUUUAUCUUUCUGUGCCUGGCUUAUUUCACUGAACAUAGUAUCCUCCAGUUCCAUCCAUGUUGUUAUAAUUAUCAUGAUUUCAUUCUUUUGUGUGACUGAAUAAUAAUCCAUUGUGUAUAUAUACCACAUUUUCUGUAUUCAUUCAUUUGUUGUUUGACACAGUUUGAUUUCAUAUCUUGGCUAUGGCAAAUAGUGCUGCAAUAAACAUGGGUGUGCCAACAUCUCUCUCCAAUAGAUGUAUUUCCUUUAUUUUGAAUAAAUACCCAGUAGUGAGAUUGCUGGAUUAUAUUGUAGUUCUAUUUUUAGUUUUUUAAGGAACCUCCUUACUGCUUUCCAUAGUGACUAUACUAAUUUACAUCCCACCGAUAGUGUAUGAGUGUUCCUCCUUCUCCACCUCCUUACCACCAUUUAUUUUCUGUCUUUUUGUAUUUUUGUUAUCCCAUUUGUCCAUUUUGGUUUUCAUUGCCUGUGCUUUUGAGGUCUUAUUCAACAAAUUUUGCCCAGACUAAUGUACUCAAAUAUUUUCCCUAUGUUUUCUUCUAGUAGUUUCAGGUCUUACAUUUAAGUCUUUAAUACAUUUAGAUUUGUUUUUGCAUAUGGUAAGAGAGAGGGUACUAAUUUCAUUCUUCUGCAUAUGGUUAUCUAGUUUUUCAAGCAUCAAUUAUUGAAAAGACUGUCCUUGCUGCAGUGUAUGUUUUUGGUACUUUGUCAAAAAUGAAUUGACUGUAAAUGUGUGGAUUGAUUUGUAGGUUAUCUAUUAUGUUCUAUGUGUCUGUUUUUAUGGCAGUACCAUGCUGAUUUUAAUACUAUAGCUUUGUAGUAUAAUUUGAAGUCAGAUACUGUGCUUCUUCCAGCUUUGUUCUCUUUGUUCAGAAUUGUUGUAGGUAUUCCAGGUCGUUUGUGGUUCCAUAUACAUUUUAGAAUUUUUUUUUAUUUCUGUGAAGAAUUUCAUUAGUACUUUGACACAUACUGUAUUGAAUCUGUAGAUAAUGUUAGGCAGUAUAGACAUCUUAAUAAUAUUGAUUUUUCUAAUUCAUGAUUAUGAAAUAUCUUUCCAUUUUUGUGUCUUCAAUUUACUCCCUUGAUGUUUUAUAGCAUUUUUAUCAACAAAAAUUGUGUAUGUUUAUAAUAUACAGCAUGAUGUUUUGAAAUAUGUAUAUAUUGUAGAAUGGGUAAAUCGAGCUAACUAACAUAUGUAUUCCCUCAUAUGUAUAUAUAUUUGUGUGUGUGUGUAUGGCGAGAACACAUAAAAUCUAUUUUCAAGUUAUUUACAUGUGGGUGGAUUAUCGUUGUACAUUGGCUUAUAACUUAAUUUGUUGUUAAGUGACAAAAGUGGAUGGAUAGUAUGCUUCCUUUUAUGUGGAAGAGGGAACUUGGGGAGCUUAGGGAGUGCACACGCUGGAGGGACUUUUUAUUUUAGCAAUGCUUCUUGCAGUACAUUUAUAACUCACGUAUAGAAAACUUUCACAAUUUUUCAUAAGCAUUUUGCAAUUAUGAUUAAGUGGAUUUUUCAAAGCAAUACAAAUAGAAGGCCAAGGAAGGUGGCUUAUGUCUAUAAUCCCAGCACUUUGGGAGGCCAAGAUGGGCUGAUCACCUGAAGUCAGGGGUUCAAGACCAGCCUGGCCAACGUGGUGAAAUUCUGUCUCUACUAAAAAUACAAAAAUUAGCCAGACACGGUAGCACACAUAUGUAAUCCAAGCUACUCUGGAGGCUGAGGCAGGAGAAUUAUUUGAACCUGAGAGUG